rnacentral:rRNA from 1 species
UACGAAGGGUGCAAGCGUUAAUCGGAAUUACUGGGCGUAAAGGGUGCGUAGGCGGUUCGUUAAGUCUGUCGUGAAAUCCCCGGGCUCAACCUGGGAAUGGCGAUGGAUACUGGCGAGCUAGAGUGUGUCAGAGGAUGGUGGAAUUCCCGGUGUAGCGGUGAAAUGCGUAGAUAUCCGGAGGAACACCAGGGGCGAAAGCGGUCGACUGGUCGAGUGCUGACACUGAGGCGCGACGGCGUGGGGAGCAAACAGG